CACAUGUCAGCACGACACUCCAGCCAGGCUCACACUCUGCUUGUAUCUCAUUAUCAAGAUGAACGUGUUACUACUCAACAUCCUGUAUCUCAUCCUACAUAUGGCAUCGAGCAGCCAACAUGAGACCAUUGUGACCCUCAUGCCAAAUGUACUUGUCGUCAUGGUGGAUCGAAAGGUCUUCACUGAGACGCAGGUCCCUCUGCGAUGUGGGGACUACCAGGACACAGAGGUGAUCUGGAGGAAUGGCAAGGAGCGUCUAGAAAACAAAGGGAACCAGAUAAAUGUGGAAGUGGUGGAGAUGAUGGGAGGGAACUACAGCUGCCACAACGCUGCCGGAGACUACCUCAACCACACGCUGGUGUUGGUGCAGGACAUACCAUCACCCAACAGAACGAGACGCGUCCUGGAGAAGUCACAUGACACAGAUGAGUACAUCAGAUGUUUGGCGAAAAAUUAUAGUGGAAUAUUUCAUUGCUCUUGGAAGAAGACCGAAUAUCGGAUGUCAGCAGCUGUUGUUUUUGUCCAAGUAGGACGCACCAUCUCUUGCUCCGAAGACAGUGAUGGUGAAGGCCUGACCUGUCAGGACCGGGAUAGUUGCCCCUUUGCUGAGGAGUUGUCCCGCAUCAAACUCACUGUAUACUUCAGGACUAACUACCUCCUAGAGGACUACACCAUCACACCCUUCUACAUCCGAGAAAUAGUGAAACCAGACAAGAUCGACAUCACCAAGGUGGAGGGGAACACAUUUCAGUGGGGGUACCCAGCGACAUGGAGCCGCCCCUGCCCUUACUUCCCCCUCACAUUCCGAGUCAAAGUGGUCCAACACGAGGCAAGCUGUGACUCGAAGGAAAAGCUACAAAAAAUAUUGCUUCUGCCUCGGGGCAAAGGAUGACCUGGUUGACUCCCAAUGGAGCCAGUGGACACGUUAUGAGGUGAAGAAUAAACCUAACAAACACUGACAGGUAAGGAAACCCAGAUGAAGACCGACAACAUACCAUCACUCAGCUUCAACCAAAACAUCCAAAUAUGGAAUAGGCUGGUCAUUGUACAGAAACAAAUAUUUGACAUUAUACUGAAGACAUGUUAUGAAAUGUAGCUAGUAUACAAUGUGUUGGGAUUUUUAUUUAUUUAUUUGUAAAAAAUUCUGAAAUGUAAUUACACCAUUUAUUUAUGUUACUCAUCUCUUUUCCAAGACGGUUUUCAUUGCUGUAGCACGAAGAUGUUUGCUUAAAUGAUUAAAUAGACGCAAAAAUAAAAAGCUACUGCACACUGAUUCACGCUCAUGUUCAUUUGUUUUCAUCGGAAUCAACAAAGCAAAUCAUUUUUAGAUGACUUUAAGAAACUUGGAACAGGUGAGUGUUUACAAUGGGUACACUAAUUAAAAACUGACGAGACGACUGGGUGUAAAAAUCUGACUACAAAAGUUUAUUUUCUAAAAAGUGUCAUCUUUUAUUUACAGUCGGGAUAUGUUCACAACAGGAAUCCGGUGUCCGCUUGUUAAAAAACAUGUUCACGUUGUCUGACACUCCCCUACGUACUUGGACAGUGAAAGUUAAACUUCUAAUUUGGCACUAUACUCAAGCAUUUUGUAUUUCAGAUCAAAUGUUUUACAUGAGGUGACAGCAUAGAAUGUCACCUUUUAUUUUAAGGUGUUUUCUGUUUUACCGUUUAGGAAUGAAUGCCCUUUAUGCAUCUAGUCCCCCAAUUGGAAGUAUUUGGACAAAUUCACUUAGUGUAUUAAAUAGUCAAAUGUAUUUGGUCUACAUUCCUAACGUGCCAUGACUACAUCAAGCUUGACUGUACAGACGUUUUGGAUGAAUUUGAUUCAUUUCUAUUGUGCACAACAUAACCAAAACAACCAAAAGCAUCCAACAGGUUUGUAGAGUCACAAGCUUGAUGUAGUCAUCGCGUGCUAGGAAUAUGGGACCAAAAUACUACACAAGUGAAUUUGUCCUUACUUAUGACACCUUCAAAUGGGUGGGUGGGGGGCGGGGUAGAGGGCUAGAUACAUAAAGUGCUUUCAUUUCUAAAAAGUAAAAACAGAUGUAUAAAAAUACCACAAAAUAAAAAAGGUGACAUUACGGACUGUUGCAUCAUAUAAAACAUGAUCUUAAAUCCAAAAUUCUGGAGUAUAGAGCCAAAUGAAACAUUUUAGUUUCACUGUCCAAAUAUAUACAUAGGGGAGUGUACAACAGUCUGCAAAUGACAUCUCACAGUUUCCUCAUCUUUUACAAACCAUGUGACUGGGAAGCAAACUUAACUGGAGGUAACAAAUAUGACAAGCUGAGAACUAAACAAAUAAUAGUUUGACAAGUGCUGCUUCAGCAACAGACAUGAGUUACCAUACAUACUGAAUGUUGGUUAUCCAAGUGUGUAUUCAGCAACAGACAUGAGUUACCAUACAUACUGAAUGUCGGUUAUCCAAGUGUGUAUUCAGCAACAGACAUGAGUUACCAUACAUACUGAAUGUCGGUUAUCCAAGUGUGUAUUCAGUGCCUAAGAUGCAUGUAGACAGAGUGCACACAGCUUGGUAAAUGAUAGUACCAAAGACAGUCCAGUAUGAAGACAGGCUAAAACAGCUUCUCCAACAGAAAUCCCCAAUCACAUCCGUAGAAGAUGUCACGGCGACGUUGACUAGCUAAGCUCGUUUAGAAACACGUCAUCGGGUCUAAAGGCCAUCAAAUCAAAGGCACUCCUUCGAUAUAAAGUUUUGGACGAAAAUUGAAAAUGUGUCAGUUUGUCACAAGGUUGGAGUAAUAGCAUGUUCAACUACCUAAGACAUUGGCUCGAAUCUAGGUUGUGCCUUUAGAUUGAGAAAACAUGUACCGCUAAGGAAGAAUUAUUUCACUUCUCCCAUUGACGUCUCAAACACCUAGUCUGUUUGGUCUGUUUCGCAAGCGUUUUCCGGAAGCUCGCGAUGUUGCGCCUCUGGGUUUAGAAACUCUGUGAGAGUACUUUAAUUUAACAACUGAAAUGCUUAUUUAAAUUGACCUUUGCCACCUGACAUGAAGGCGGCAAAACAUGUCCUUUACAAGAAAACAAAGAAGUUGGUCUGUAAAAUAAAUAUUUGACAAUCCAAAACAGAAAAAUAACAGAGUAAACAGACGUGUUCAUAUCCUCUGAUAGCAGUUGAUCUUUAGAUUAUUGCAUAACUUUGCGGGAUGACGUGAGAGCAUUGAUGCUCUAGCGUUAGAGCCAAUAAAGCAAAAAUGUUGGCAAAUAUUGAAUUAACCUAAAUACUGUCAAAGACUGUUCAAUUGCCUCUUAAAGAGAAUACUAGUAACAGAUACAAAUGGGUUUGAUUCCAUGUUCAGAACCAUAUCCAUUCUUCCAACUAUCCAACUGAAAACAAUACAAUUCUAUUUCCAAAUAAACCUCAUACAAAAUCUGAGAAGUUUAGUCUGAGAAGUUUAGUGUCUAGUGCUUGUGCUGAGUCUAACACAAUGCCUUUCAAAUUUUCCCACCCACCUUCAAAAACAUCAUAAGUGCCUUUUUCCAACUUAUUUUCAAUCAUUCUACAGCAAGUAUAGUUUGGUUCAUUAACUUCAGUGGCCUUAACAUUUGCCUGAGUAUAUGACAAAAGUGUUCAGCUCAAAUCAAAAUUCGGUCAAAUGCAUAAUAAUAAUAAAAAAUACUGUUUAGCCACACGCAAAGAUACAGUGCCUUCAGAAAGUAUUCACACCCGUAGACUUCCUCCACAUUUUGUUGUUACAAAAUUGGAUGAAAAAUGUCAUUUAUUUUGUCAUUUAUUUUGUCAAUGAUCGACACAAGAUACUCUGUAAUGUCAAAGUGGAAGACAAAUUGUAACAUUUGAAGAAAAAAAAAAUACAUAUAUAUAUAUAUUUUUUUUAAAUU